rnacentral:lncRNA from 1 species
AUGCCCACACCAGCCAGAGUCGAGCCGGGCCAAAGCCAGGAGCCCAGAGCUCCAUCUGGCUCUUUCGUGUAUCUGUUUAUUCCCGUCUGCUUGGUGCUAGGCAAGGGCUGGGCAGGAGCAUGCGGAGAUGCAUGGUGGCGAGAGCUUCUUUUCGCUCAGGGCUGUGUCCCCUUGCGGGAACCACGGGAACUGUGCAGGUGGCAUCGUGAAUGCACCUGCUCUGCCCCACAAGGAGCAGGGCAAGGUCCACCUGCAGCCAGAGCCACACCCUCCCCCUGCUGUGUGCUGUCUCCACCCAGGGUGCUCCUGCAAGAGCCUCGCCUCCUUCAGCUGUCCCUGGACCGCAAGCCUGGGAGCAGGGAGGUCACCCUGACCAUCCCGCUGGCCUUCACUAUGAUUGUGAAUAGCUUCUUGAUCCUCGACACCAUCACAACCGAGAUAAGGUCAGACAUCCACGUGCAGCUGGCUCUGGAGAAGAGCUCAGACGGCAGAGACCGACUCACCUCCAAGGACUGCAGUGUAUCGCCCGAGGCCGUGCGGAUACAGACAGAAUUCUUCAUUUUCCAAGAAUUUCUGAAUUGA